rnacentral:tmRNA from 1 species
GGGGGCGAAUUGGAUUCGACGGGGAUAGGUUGAGCUUGGAUGGCAAGCCGAGUAUCAGAACUCGUAAAAAGCUGAAACUAAACAUAAAUGCUGACGAUUCACAGUUAGCUUUAGCGGCGUAGUUUAACGUUGCUCGUCUACGGGAGGUUUCCUGUGCUUUUCGAUAGGCGACGUUUAGCAGGAUACCCGGUUAUACCUUGUCCGCAGGUAUAGCAGGGGAAAUUUAUGCGGGAUAGCUUUUAUGGAUGGUGCCCUUACCAGACAUGACAGCGAAAUUAAAAUAAGGGAUAAGCUUGUAGAAGUUUAAGUGGCAAUAUCUUCGGACGCGGGUUCGAUUCCCGCCGCCUCCACCA